GAUGUGAUAGGCAAAAUAUUUUGCAGAAAUAAAAUUAAACGAGUAAUUUUUUUUUUUUUCCUAAAAGAAAAGAAUGUCCGAAAAAAAAAAUAAUAAAGUAAGAAAAGUUGAUCAGAUAAGAGAUUGUACCAUACGACGUCCAGCGAGUGCGUGAUUCAGCUAUUGCAAUUAGUUCAGAUCAUCCACAAUCUAUUUGCAACGUCCUUCUAGUCAUACUUGUAAAUGCCCGCGUAAUUGAGUUUCACCCAACGAAAGUAAUCAAGUAUCUUGCAAGAGCAAAGGGAACUAAACAAUUUUCUAGAAUUUAGGACGAUAAAAUAAGUCUACGAAUUUUUCCGAGAAAGAAAAAUAGAAAUUAAACUAUUCUAUAGACCAAACUUUUAUUACCAAGAGAUAAUAUGCGUAGAUUGAGAUAUGGAAGAAAUACUAGUUUGUGACUUGAACCGGGUUCAUCCAAUAUUUGGCUGCUACUUGUUGGUUCAACACCUGCGCAGGAGCCUGUUGACGUGUGCAGGAAACAAAGUCGCCUCGGGAGGUGCGCCCAAGGAGCGUCGUCUCCAGCUUCUUCUUUCUGCUGCUUGCACAAAGCUCUCUCCUCUCAACUAGCAACUCUUCUAUUUUCUAAAAUCUUAACCAAAACUCACAAAUAGGUAGUCAAAAUUUAGAGAAAAUUAAGAGGAACUCAAAUCCAACAUAACAUUAUAACUCUGGACCUCGCCAAAAUCGAAAACCCUCCAGGAAAAAAAACUUUCACUCAAAAAAUCUUUGCAAGAAAAGUUAAAAUUUUUUUUCAAUAAUCAUCGUCUUCUCAUAAAGCCUUGUAGGUUAUUUAU
rnacentral:lncRNA from 1 species